AGUGAUGAUCUGAAAAUUCUUCACUUUGACCUGACUAACCAGUGAUGAUAACCUUCAACCUGAGC
rnacentral:snoRNA from 1 species